CGGCUGCGCGCGGGUCAGCUGGAGGCGGCUCCGGGAGCGCGCGGCUCGGCGACGGCAUCCCGGAGGGAGCAGCAUGUGCAGAAACCACCUUCUUGACUGUUGGGUCCUCUCUUAGCCUUCAUGGAAAUCCCUAACUCACCAAGGGUUUCAGACCCCUCAACUCCCCUCAACUGCUUCAGCUGGCCAGUCAAUGCCGUUUCCUGGGGUAUGUCCGCUGUCUCGUGCCGACAGCUUCUAGGAACCACAGGUGAGAGUUGAGUGCUGGGUGGGCACCAAAGGUGGACAAACUCUCUGCAGACUUUGUGCAAACAAAUCAGGCCAGUGCUUGGAGGCAUUGAUGUCCUGGAUGUGGGCAAUAUGUUGAAGCUGAAUCCUGAAAAGAUGGAGGUCUUUAGUGUCCCAGGAAGUGGAGAGACAUCCGGUCAUGGACAGGGUUGCACUCCCUUGGAUGGAACAGAUUCGCAGCUUGGGGAUGUUGCUGGAUUCAGCUGGUGGCCUUGGUGACUAGGAGGGCCUUUUUCGAGCUCUGACUGCUUCACCAUCUCUCGGCCCUUUUAGAAAGACGUGGCUGUGGUGACACCAUGCUCUGGUAACUUCCAGAAUAGAUUGUUGCAAUGCUCUAUACAAGACAGGAGAGUCCAACUGAACAUCCGGAAGAGCUUUCUGGUGGUCCUGUUUAGAGGUUGUGGGCUCUCCUGUAGUUGCGAUGCCUGCAUCACAGAGGGUUGGACCAGCUGAGCUGCUUGGGAUCCCCUCCCACACUACAAUUCUAUGAUUCUAUGACUCCUUUCCCCUUAUACCCCACCUUUCCUCCAAAGUGCUCAAGGUGGCCCUCCUGGUUUCCCAUUUCCCAUGUUAUCCUCACAAUGACCCUGUGAGGUAGGUGAGGCUGAGAGACAAUGACUGGCCAAAGGCCUCACUUGAGGGCCAAGCCGUGGCUUUUACCCUGUUCUCCCAGAUCCAAUAAAUGUCCCACAAUGUUACUCCAUAUUCUGGAAAGUAGGUCUAGAAGUGAAGAAGCAGGAGGGCCUUUUCUCAUCGCUCUGGACGUUUAUGGCGACCCUUGUUAACAGUUCUGGGUGGCAACUUUCCCCUUUCCACCACCCCUGCCUAUAUGACCUCCUAGUUGCCCUACCAGGUCCAGCAUCCACCAGCUGCCGCUGUUAUUUCCCCUUUUAAGCCAGAAGGGAGCCUGGUAGCGGAGCUCUUUUCAGGAAGGAAAGGGUUAAGCAACCCCGCCCUCAUGGUCCCUCCACCCCGAAUUUCAGCCUGUGCUGCUAAUUCUCAGGGAGACUGAUUCACUUAUCUUCUCCCAUGGAGCAGCUAUUUUGUGCCCCCCAGUCACUUUCUGAGGAUGCAACUUCACUAAUGGUCUUCUGCCCUUUGAAAUCUCACUUAGCCUGUAAUGCUUCUGAGGUUCAGGGCGGGACCACAGGAGCCAUAAAUGCAGCUGAGACUGAGAAGAGCCCCUUCCCCAGAGCCCAGAGGAGCAGCUGUCUCUCUGCAGAGGACAAGAGGGCAGGGAAAGAGCAGUGGCAGGCCUCAUCCAAUAUUUUCUAAAAGGAUCCUCUCCACACUGGGGCUCUUGGCAGCAGUCUUUAAAGCUGAAUCUAGCGGGAGCUGAAUAAUUCAGCCUGCUCACCCAGGGCUUUCUGUGAUGUUAAAGUGGUCAAAAGCCCCUUGGCCAGUCAGUGCCCAGCCGUUUGGGCUUAGAUAAAGCAGGAAGAGCCUUUUUCUUAUUUUCCUCAGCCUGACCCAAGGAGCUGCCUGCUGCUUUUUCCACCUCCGCCUGCCUGGGCUCCCCCUCCAUGGGGCUGCUGACUUCACGGUGCCAGGCAGUCGCUGGGGAGGCUCAGCCUCUGGAUUCUGCAGGCAGCACUUCCUUCCCUUCCAGGCUGCAUGCCUGUGUGUGUUGCUGAAGGGGGCAGUUGUUGCUUCAGGCUUCCCUCCCGCUUAGUUUCUUGCAAGAAGAAAGUCCUGUGCAAAGGGAGGGCCUCACGGUGAGCCAGGCAGGUCUGGCGGGAAGCCCUUUCUUCAUGUCUUCUUCCUGGCUCAUCACCAGUCCAUGACCUGAGCCAAAGGGGGCUGGCAGAAGGGGUAAGUAGGGCUUUCCCCAUUUGUGAUAAUAGACAUUGGUGUGCUUUGUGGGCUUCUUCCUGCUUGUGCCUUUAAGGGUUCCCUGCAGUGAGUGGGCAUCUCUUACUGGGUUGCACAACUCUCUUCCCUUGUGGCCUGAGCUGCUGGUGCUGUGACUCUUAAUGCCCAACAGUCACAGAAGAGCAUCUGCAGAAGAGGCUGCCUUGGGACAGCUGGCUUGUACUCUUCUUUGCCCUGGCGCAGCCCAUCCCUCGGAAAGGCUGCAUUUCAAGCCCCCUGGAACAGCGGCAGGGAUCAUCCAGGGAGGGCUUGCACCCCAGAGAGGAGGCGUUGGGCUGGGCUCUGCUGGAGAAGGGCCCCAUUUGCUGGGGGAUGAGGAGGCGUCAGAGGCGUCCUUUGAACCAAGUGAAGGAACCCAGCUGGAGGCAAGGCUUUUCUUCCAGGGGUGCUUUUCCCAUUUCUUCAGGGAGAAAGAUUCACCAGCCCCACCCAGAGUGAAACUCCCUCCUCACAGUGAAGGCACAGAAUGAAAAAGCUUAUUUGUGACCCCCCAAAAAAACCUUCACCUGUGAAGCAGGGGCCCAUUCAGUGACCCCCAAGGACAGGAAGGCGGCUUGGAUGCCGCUUAGCACUCUCAGCUGCUCUAAUUUUUGUUUUCUGUGCUUACCCAUUGUUUUUAGUGUAUAUAUUGUUGUGAGCUGUCUUGUAGACAUUUAAGUGGAAAGUAGUUGGAAAUGCUAAAAUAAUAAUUAGAUACUGUUCAUAUGGCAGGCAGGAUUUUAUCAAGUAAACUGUAAAGGAUGUUCAUUUUAUUAUGUGCCAUAAGCUUUAAAUCCUUCUUGGCAACUUUUUUUGCUGAACUGUUUAGCUUCCAUGCUAUAUUUAUGUAUUUGAUUCUCAUCUAUAAGUAAUAAAUCAGUCCUGUUCUUUUUCAGUUUAA